CAACUAUACUGUGAAACUGCGAAUGGCUCAUUAUAUCAGUCAUAAUUUAUUUGAUAGUACCUUUACCUGGAUAACCGUGGUAAUUCUAGAGCUAAUACAUGCUUAAAACCCCGACUCACGGAGGGGUGUAUUUAUUAGAUAAAAAACCAAUGCCCUUCGGGGCUCCNNGGUGAAUCAUAAUAACUNAACGAAUCGCAUGGCCUUGCGCCGGCGAUGGUUCAUUCAAAUNUCUGCCCUAUCAACUUUCGAUGGUUAUGUAGUGGAUAACCAUGGUUUCAACGGGUAACGGGGAAUUAGGUACGCUUCUAACGAUUUCCCCCGGCGGGAAUGCAGCUAAUCAAUCAACAGGGUUCGAUUCCGGAGAAGGAGCCUGAGAAACGUGAGUUUCAACUAUUCUCCAGCUAAAUCGACUUUAUGCUAACAAUUUCCAGGGCUACUACAUCCAAGGAAGGCAGCAGGCGCGCAAAUUACCCAAUCCCGACACGGGGAGGUAGUGAGUAGUCCCUAAACAAGCUUUUAGCGACUCAACUAACAAUUCUUCUAGGUGACAAUAAAUACUGAUGCAGAGCUCUUUUGGGUUUUGCAAUUGGAAUGAGUACAAUUUAAAUCUCUUGACUCUGUUAGGAGAUUAGCUGUAGUCAACCGUUGGUUGGCGACGCACCCGUCUUUCGAGCAAGCCCCCGGGGCUACUCGAAUCCUGCUUAGCGGGACUAGAGACUACACGGGUGGCGGGCUUCGGGACGCGCUCCCGGGCUGAUGGCAUAGUCCAACCCGCCGGGGCAACCCAGCGGUAUGCGUGAACGAGGAACAAUUGAGNNNNNNNNNNNNNNNNNNNNNNNNNNNNNNNNNNNNNNNNNNNNGCGUAUAUUAAAGUUGUUGCAGUUAAAAAGCUCGUAGUUGAACCUUGGGUCUGGCUGACCGGUCCGCCUCACCGCGUGCACUGGUUCGGCCGGAUCUUUCUUUCUGGGGAACCGCAUGCCCUUAACUGGGCGUGUUGGAGAACCAGGACUUUUACUUUGAAAAAAUUAGAGUGUUCAAAGCAGGCCUAUGCUCGAAUACAUUAGCAUGGAAUAAUAGAAUAAGACGGCUGUUUUAUUUUGUUGGUUUCUAAGACCGCCGUAAUGAUUAAUAGGGAUAGUCGGGGGCAUCAGUAUUCAAUUGUCAGANGUGAAAUUCUUGGAUUUAUUGAAGACUAACUACUGCGANANCAUUUNCCAAGGAUGUUUUCNUUNNUCNNUGAACGNANGUUAGGGGAUCGAAGACGNUCAGAUACCGUCGUAGUNUUAACCAUAAACUAUGCCGACUAGGGAUCGGACGGUGUUAUUAUUUUGACCCGUUCGGCACCUUACGAGAAAUCAAAGUCUUUGGGUUCUGGGGGGAGUAUGGUACCUAUGCUGCCAUAGAUAGCGAGCCCGGCGGUCGUUUCGNCCCGGGGCAUCCAACUAGCUCGCCUGAAAUAGGGAGAGCGACACCUUCAAUCUAGCUGGGACCUCCAAAGGCACCGGCAGCCCGAGCAAUCGGGUCAACAGNCUAAACGAGGGUGGCAGCUGGACGCAGAGUCCGCUNUGAGAUAUAGUCGGNCNNCGNCCCCGCGAGCAUGGGGGCGCGACUUAGCGCGCAAGGCUGAAACUUAAAGAAAUUGACGGAAAGGCACCACCAGGCGUGGAGCCUGCGGCUUAAUUUGACUCAACACGGGGAAACUCACCAGGUUAACAUCAGUUAUAUUUCUGGGCCUGGUAGAAUUUAGUGCUGCGAAUGCAGCGCGACGCCAGCUGGUACAGGGAACGCCCCACCCGGGCAGAUCCUGUGGUGAGCCCCCCGGGGCCAUUGCAACGCGCACCAAGCGGCGGGCGACUCCACCCGGGGCGCUCCUAGUAUGUGCUAAUCCCGCGAGAUAUUCGCGGCGUGAUUCUUGCCAGACAUGAUAAGGAUUGACAGAUUGAGAGCUCUUUCUUGAUUUUAUGGUUGGUGGUGCAUGGCCGUUCUUAGUUGGUGGAGUGAUUUGUCUGCUUAAUUGCGAUAACGAACGAGACCUUGACCUGCUAAAUAGCUAGGCCAGCUUUGGCUGGUCGCCAG
rnacentral:rRNA from 1 species